rnacentral:rRNA from 1 species
AUUGAACGCUGGCGGCAGGCCUAACACAUGCAAGUCGAACGAGUGGCGGACGGGUGAGUAAUGUCUGGGAAACUGCCUGAUGGAGGGGGAUAACUACUGGAAACGGUAGCUACUACCGCAUACCCUCGGAUGUGCCCAGAUGGGAUUAGCUAGUAGGUGGGGUAAAGGCUCACCUAGGCGACGAUCCCUAGCUGGUCUGUACGGAUUACCAGCAACAAUGGAACUGAGACACGGUCCAGACUCCUACGGGAGGCAGCAGUGGUGAAUAUUGCACAAUGGGCGCAAGCCGGAUGCAGCCAUGCCGCGUGUAUGAAGAAGGCCGUCGGGUUGUAAAGUACUUUCAGCGGGAAGGCGUUGCCCGCAGGAGAAGCACCGGCUAACUCCGUGCGAGCAGCCGCGGUAAUAC